rnacentral:rRNA from 1 species
GUCUGUGGCCAUACCAUCCUGAACACACCUGUCCUCAGGAGUUAAGCAGGGUUGUGCCUGGUUAGUACUUGGAUGGGAGACAUGUCCUCCAUAGUCU